rnacentral:SRP_RNA from 1 species
CAGUAGGGAGGCGGGAAGCUAGAGGUUUCCCUCACCGCAAACCCCCUUUAGGCGGGCCGUAUGCCGGUCGUGUUGCUUGCAUGCAUGUCGGGCCCACGCCAAAGCGUCGAGGUCUUGCCUUCAGUGGCGGUCUCGCGCAUGAACCGGGCCAGGCCGGAAGGAGCAACCCUAAGUACGCGCGGCUGUGCUCUGGAGAUACAGGGCUGAGCAGAGGCGUGACAAACCCGGCGUGCUUGCAUGCGGCUAGGUCGGCUCCUGCUG